rnacentral:rRNA from 1 species
UUAUUUAGAAAUAUUGCUAGAAUCAACUAUUAUUGGUAAAUAAGGUAUAUAAAAAUUAAUAUAAUUUGGAUAAAGUAAAGAUUAUUAAAAUGUUCACAGUGGCUAUAGAUUAUAAGUACUGAAUAGGAAAUAUAACUAAAUUAGAAACUAGUAAAGUAGAUAUAGUGUGUCGUACCUUGUGUAUCAGGGGUAAUCUAAAUUUCUGCAAUCAUAUUGCCAGUCCCGAAGUAAGGAUAGCUAGUAGGUCAAACAAGCUUUUGUUAUAUAAAGAUUUGGAAUGUUAUACUAAAGAUGAAACGUCAUACGAGCCUUGCAAUAUCUGGUUCUCCAGGAAUAAAAUAUAAUUUGACCACUAGAUUAAAUUUAUUUAGUGGUAAAGGAUAGGAGGGACGAGCUUCUUAUCACUAAAAUAAUCAAUUAAUAGAUUACUUACUAAUUAACUUCUCUAGGCUUAAAAGUAGCAAUGAUAGAAAAGUGUUCUAACUUAGGUUGUAUGAGAAAAUUAUUUAUAAGAUCUUUAAUUGUUACUGGGGUAUCAUUUUAAUCUCGGAAAUUUGAGAAACAAUGAUUAUAUAAGUAGAUAAAUAAUGUAACAGUGCAAGUGUAGAGUACUGUGAGGGUUAUAAAAAUUAUGGAGAAGUAAAAAAGGAACUCGGCAAAUAAUUUCUUUGCCUGUUUAUCAAAAACAUGUCUAUUAGAUAAUAUUUAUAGUCUAGCCUGCUCACUGAUAAGAAUUAUUAAAUAGCCGCGGUAUCUUGACCGUGCAAAGGUAGCAUAAUCAUUAGCUUCUUAAUUGGAAGCUUGUAUGAAUGGUUGGACAAAGGAAAAGCUGUCUCUUUUAUUAAAAUUGAAUUUAACUUCUAAGUGAAAAGGCUUAGAUACUUUAGAGGGACGAUAAGACCCUAUAAAGCUUUAUAAAUUUAAAGAUUUUACAUAUUUUAUCUAUAAUGGUAAUCUCUGGAGAAUUUAUUGGGUUGGGGCAACAAAAGUAUAAUUAUCAAUAACUGCUAUAAAAUAAUACAAUUAUCUUUGUGUGGGUAGAUUAGUUGAUCCCUGAAAAGGAUUAAAAGAUCAAGUUACUUUAGGGAUAACAGCGUAAUUUAUCCUGAGAGUUCUUAUCAAAGGAAAAGUUUGCGACCUCGAUGUUGAAUUAAAAUGUCUUUGUAGUGCAGCAGCUACACAAGAAGGUCUGUUCGACCUUUAAUUUUUUACAUGAUUUGAGUUCAGACCGGCGUGAGCCAGGUCGGUUUCUAUCUUCUAGAAAUUAAUAGGCUGCUCUAGUACGAAAGGAUUGAGCAGCCAAAAUUCUUUUAACGGGUUUGAAAUA